rnacentral:rRNA from 1 species
UCGUGUUCUUGUAUCACUUCUUAGAGGGACUUUGCGUGUCUAACGCAAGGAAGUUUGAGGCAAUAACAGGUCUGUGAUGCCCUUAGAUGUUCUGGGCUGCACGCGCGCUACACUGAUGCAUCCAACGAGUUUAUAACCUUGGCCGAUAGGUCUAGGUAAUCUUGUGAGUAUGCAUCGUGAUGGGGAUAGAUUAUUGCAAUUAUUAAUCUUCAACGAGGAAUGCCUAGUAGGCGCAAGUCAGCAGCUUGCGCCGAUUACGUCCCUGCCCUUUGUACACACCGCCCGUCGCUCCUACCGAUUGAGUGUUCCGGUGAAUUAUUCGGACCGUUUUGUGGCGCGUCUGUGCCCGAAAUGGGAAGUUUUGUGAACCUUAACACUUAGAGGAAGGAGAAGUCGUAACAAGGUUUCCGUAGGUGAACCUGCGGAAGGAUCAUUCACACGUUGUCCUUUUGACAUUUAAUAACAAUCAACCCUUGAAUCCCUAUUACAACAAUAAGCUUGCAUCUCUCGUUUCGAGGGGUGCAUUCGAGAAGUGUGCUGCCCUCUUGUUGUCAUUUUUGACAACAAGAGCAUCGCCUUCUUUUUUUUUCCAACACCGUUUAACUAAACCAACGAUCUGUUGUUUAGCGGGCGGGGAUCCACCUCCUCACUCUGCUAUCACGGAUUGGUUAAUACAAACCUUUUGUAUU